rnacentral:rRNA from 1 species
AUACGGGAGGCAGCAGCUAAGAAUAUUCCGCAAUGGACGAAAGUCUGACGGAGCGACGCCGCGUGGAUGACGAAGGCCGAAAGGUUGUAAAAUCCUUUUGUUGGGGAAGAAUAAGCGUGGGAGGGAAUGCCCGCGUGAUGACAUGAACCGACGAAUAAGUCCCGGCUAACUACGUGCCAGCAGCCGCGGUAACACGUAGGGGACAAGCGUUAUUCGGAAUUACUGGGCGUAAAGGGCAUGUAGGCGGCCUUGUAAGCCUGGCGUGAAAGUCACCGGCUCAACCGGUGGAUUGCGUCGGGAACUGCAGGGCUUGAGUCAUGGAGAGGAAGGCAGAAUUCCUGGUGUAGGGGUGAAAUCUGUAGAGAUCAGGAAGAAUACCAGUGGCGAAGGCGGCCUUCUGGCCAAUGACUGACGCUGAGGUGCGAAAGUGUGGGGAUCAAACAGGAUUAGAUACCCCAGUAA